rnacentral:rRNA from 1 species
GAACGCUGGCGGUGCGCCUUAUGCAUGCAAGUUGAGCGAAGCUUUUUGGUAGUUUACUACUAGAAAUGACUGAGCGGCGAACGGGUGAGUAACGCGUGAGCAAUCUACCUUAGUUACUGGGAUAGCCCGAGGAAACUCGGAUUAAUACCGGAUAUUCUUAUUUUUUCACAUGAAGUUUUAAGGAAAGGUCAGCCGAACUAAGAUGAGCUCGCGUUCUAUCAGCUAGUUGGUGGGGUAAAAGCCUACCAAGGCUACGACGGAUAGCUGGUCUGAGAGGACGAUCAGCCACACUGGGACUGAGACACGGCCCAGACUCCUACGGGAGGCUGCAGCAGGGAAUAUUGUGCAAUGAGCGAAAGCUUGACACAGCGACACCGCGUGUGGGAUGACGGUUCUAGGAUUGUAAACCACUUUCAGGAGGGAAGAAAAUGACGGUACCUCCACAAGAAGACCCGGCCAACUAUGUGCCAGCAGCCGCGGUAAUACAUAGGGGUCAAGCGUUGUCCGGAUUUAUUGGGCGUAAAGAGCUCGUAGGCGGUUCAACAAGUCGGUCGUAAAAGUUUAGGGCUCAACCCUAAAAUGUCGAUCGAUACUGUUGUGACUAGGAUACGGUAGAGGUGAAUGGAAUUCCGAGUGUAGCGGUGAAAUGCGUAGAUAUUCGGAGGAACACCAAUUGCGAAGGCAGUUCACUGGACCGUGAUCGACGCUGAGGAGCGAAAGCUAGGGGAGCAAACAGGAUUAGAUACCCUGGUAGUCCUAGCUGUAAACGAUG